rnacentral:rRNA from 1 species
GAUGAACGCUGGCGGCGUGCUUAACACAUGCAAGUCGAACGAGAAGUGAAGACGGAAACCUUCGGGCGGAAGGCUUUAUUUCGAGUGGCGGACGGGUGAGUAACGCGUGGGUAACCUGCCUCAUACAGGGGGAUAACAGUUGGAAACGACUGUUAAUACCGCAUAAGACCACAGCACCGCAUGGUGCGGGGGUAAAAACUCCGGUGGUAUGAGAUGGACCCGCGUUCGAUUAGCCAGUUGGCGGGGUAACGGCCAACCAAAGCGACGAUCGAUAGCCGAUCUGAGAGGAUGACCGGCCACAUUGGGACUGAGACACGGCCCAAACUCCUACGGGAGGCAGCAGUGGGGAAUAUUGCACAAUGGGGGAAACCCUGAUGCAGCGACGCCGCGUGAGUGAAGAAGUAUUUCGGUAUGUAAAGCUCUAUCAGCAGGGAAGAAAAUGACGGUACCUGGGUAAGAAGCCCCGGCUAACUACGUG